CUCUCCCCGGGGAGCUGCCGCAUGCCCGGGCUGCUUCAGUGCCCUCCCUCCCCCCGCCGAUUAGCUGUUUUUUUUAUGCUAUUGGCAAGCCAAGCAGGAGUAAUUGCUUGAGCAGAGUGAUGUGUCAUAACUAAUAGUGUGCAAUUUCUGGAUUUUUUUUUUUUUUUUUUUGUCCUGCAGCAAAUAUUCACAUGGUAUCCAGGUGGCUCUUUCAAAAAUUCAGUCUCUCUCUUGCAGAGCGUCCUUAUUAGCCGACAGCCCUCUUGAGAUUGAGGUGGCGAUCACCUGUGUUCUCCUCUGCGCAAAUGUAGUAGUAUCAGAGAGCUUGGCUGUAUCCAGGUUGUAGCCAGAAACCUGAGAUCUUGAACCAAGGCAGAAGCAGUGUAAUCUGUGUCAUAACAGAACCUCACAAGAGAGCUGAGAGACUCUUUACCAGCUAAGAACUGCCUGCCCAGAGAAGUUUUCUGUCUAUUGACUCCUCUGUAAAAUCCUACAAAAUAUGAACUUUCACUUUCUACCCAGAAGAAUUUUUUACAAACUUUUCUCCAAUACCUGAGGAAGGGUGUCUGUGCCCACAAGCUUGCAAUUAAAGAAUUUUUUUGCAAAAUCUUGUUGGUCUAAUAAAAGAUAUCACCUUUA